AACGAACGCUGGCGGCAUGCCUAACACAUGCAAGUCGAACGAGACCUUCGGGUCUAGUGGCGCACGUGUGCGUAACGCGUGGGAACCUUCCCUUAGGUUCGGAAUAACUCCCCGAAAGGUGUGCUAAUACCGGUUAAUGUCAUCGGACCAAAGAUUUAUCGCCUUUGGAUGGGCCCUUGUUGGAUUCGCUGUUUGGUAGUGUAAAAGCCUGCCAAGGCGACGAUGCAUAGCUGGUCUGAGAGGAUGAUAAGCCACACUGGCAAUGCGACACGGCCCAGACUCCUACGGGAGGGAGCAGUAGGGAAUAUAGGAGGAGGGGCGAAAGCGUAAUCCAGCAAUGCCGGGUGAGUGAUGAAGGCCUUAGGGUUGUAAAGUCGUCUUACCCGGGAUGAUAAUGACAGUACCGGGAGAAUAAGCUCCGGCUAACUACGUG
rnacentral:rRNA from 1 species